rnacentral:rRNA from 1 species
UACGGAGGGGGCUAGCGUUGUUCGGAAUUACUGGGCGUAAAGCGCACGUAGGUGGCUUUGUAAGUUAGAGGUGAAAUCCCAGAGCUCAACUCUGGAACUGCCUUUGAUACUGGGUAUCUCGAGUAUGGAAGAGGUGAGUGGAAUUCCGAGUGUAGAGGUGAAAUUCGUAGAUAUUCGGAGGAACACCAGUGGCGAAGGCGGCUCACUGGUCCAUUACUGACGCUGAGGUGCGAAAGCGUGGGGAGCAAACAGG